GCCAUAUGUCAUGAACCGUAACUCCGAUUGACGAGAUUCAAAAUGUUCUGAAAAGUAGACACAAUUUCGGAUGACUUUCGUGUUUUGAGAAAAUGCUGAUUCGAAACGUACUCGGCGAGUAGGGUCGAUUACUCGGCGAGUUGUAUCGAACUUUCGCGAUUCUGGACGCGCUGACUUGCCGUACACGGGUUUUAAGUGAUGUACUCGGCGAGUAGGUCACUGGACUCGCCGAGUAUCCUCUGUUUUGUGAAAAUCUAUAUAAAGGGACUUUCAGAUCGAUACCCUAGCAUGGAGAGAAACCCUAGGAGGCUGAGAAACGAUUGGAAGUGCUGCUAGGUCGUGAGGAACUAAAGAAUCAACCCUACAUUCAAUUGUGAAGAGAAUCAAGACAAUUUUGGUUUAUUCUUAGUAACUUUUUGAUUUGAAUCAUGUUUACAUACUUUGAUUUCGUUUUUGAUUUUAUGUUUACUGCAACCAUGAGCUAAAAACUUAUUCUUCUGUUAGGGUAGACAAUUUUGUGAACAUGGAUUGAUUAUUUGAGUAGGAUUAAUUUUAAUUGGUAAUUAUGUUUUGUUAAGCUUGUUAAAGAACCUUAUGUGUUGACAAUAACUAUUCUUCUGUUAAUAAAUCAGUAAUUAAGUUGUAUGAACAUCUCUUAGUUAUUAAUUUCAUAUGAUUUAUUGUGACCACAUAGUUGUAUGUCUAGGAAUAACGAAUGUGAAACUAGAAUUAACUAGAAGAUAGGUAAGUUAAUGUGUGAGAUUGUUUGAUGAACAUCAGCAAUAGGUUAAUUGAAGGGUCAAUUUAAUUAACCAUUACAAGUCUUACUUAACCCGAAUCAAUAAUCUAGGAAACCCGUUAAUUUAGACAACUGGCCAUUGCUUGAGUUAAUUUGUUUUCUAAGAAUUAGGAAUAGCGAACGUGAACCUAAUUAUCUUAAUCGGUAGCCAAUGAAGAAUUAAUCUGAUACAUUAAAAUCAUCCAUGGGAACAAAUGAGUCGUACCUAAACAGAAGUCCUCUUUACUAUUGAAUUUAGUUGGUAAUUAAUUGUUUUAGUUGCUAGUUAGUUAAUUUGUGUGUUGGUUAUUCUAAUUAAGUUUCUAGUCUUGUAAAACUAGAGAAAACCCCCUUUUUGUUAUUUGUUUUAUUUAGAUAAUAUUAGCAUUUAUUUUAAUUGUUUACCGUUCCCUGUGUUCGAUACCCUACUUGCUUGAACUAUAUUACUAAUCGAUAGGUACACUGCCUUUCGUGUGUUUAUUUUGUGUCUAAGUUAGUAGGAUUAAAACUAGUUGGUUUUACACACAUCAAGUUUUUGGCGCCGUUGCCGGGGAACGGUUCAAAUAGUUAAUUUUAUUUGCUAAUUGUUAUCGGUUUUAUUUUAUUGAUUAUUUUUUUAUUUAGUUUAAUUUUUAUCUUUAUUUUUUAUUAUGUAUUUUCCAAAUCUCGAUGCUUUUGAUGCUUUUCUUGAGGAAGUAGUGCAGGAAGAUGAGGAUUAUGACUCGGAUGAAGAUUUGAAGAAAUUUGAUAGAUGGUUAGAUAUCAUCUUGUCUAACGAUCAAGAACAAUCUGAGUCACAAGAGCUAGAUUUACAAGAUGAUGAAUUUAAUCCAGAAAGAGACUUGGAGGAGCUGCAAAGGUUGCUAGCAGAGAGGUCAGACGAAGAACAAGAACAAGCUGAAUUGCAGGAACCAAGUUGUGGUUUGACCAUUACCACGACAUGGUCCCCUGUUCUUCCGGUUUGUGUUUCAAAGCAUGGGGUGACGAUUCCAACUUUGGAGAAAGUUCUGAAGCGCGAUCCAUUUCUGAUUAGUACCCGACCGGUCCCAACCCUUGUCAGAAUUCUUGGGUUUUAUGUAUUCAAGCUCGUUUGGCCAAUUUUAGAAGAAAAGAGCCAAAUUUUACAAAUUGGUCCAAAGAAAAUAUUUAAUGCAACGGAUGGAUUGGCAAUGAGUUUAUUGGAAGUUUAUUAAGUUGGGAGUCCAGCUAAAGACUCGCACAAAAAGAAGCGCUUGCGGGAGGCAACCCGUCAUUAGAGUUUUCUUUUCUUUUUCUUUCUAAACUUUUAGUGUUUAAGGAUAAUUUAGGAUUUUUUUUUUAUUUUAAUGUUUUUUUUUAUUACUUGGUUUUUGUUUUUGAUCUUUUCAGUUUGAGUGUAAGGAUGCAUGUGAGGGUCUAGAGUCAAGGCUGAUGAAGCGAGAAAUCGAGUCUAGGCGAGAGAGGAAACGAAGUUUUGAGUCAAGCUAUGAGUCCAAUUGAUAGAAGGGUUAUAGAGUGUUUAUUCCCUGAAGAAAAAUGAGGGAAAUUAUUAGUUUAUAUAACCCCCAUACAUCAGAAACGGACUUGGGCAGAAUAAAAUUUUUGUCACACAGCGGUCUACUCGCCGAGUGCAUCUUAUGGACUCGCCGAGUCCAUGUGAAAAUUCACGAUUCUUCUGCCAUUUACGCUUCAACUCGGCGAGUCUACAUACUUACUCGACGAGUCGCUCAUUCUUCUUACUUUUGAGCUGAAGAUUUGAUGACAUUUGAUAUGGGCAUUGGUUCUAUUCUUUGAAGAUCAUUUUCCGAGCAUUUCCAAGAGUUUUUCCCUUAUAUUUGGAGCUUUUAUAAAGGCUAUACCACACGAGAUUUUGACACCCAAGACAUGGAUGAGCUGUUCCCAUGUCUAAAGUCAAUUGAAGAUGGAGCUGAAGAGAAGAGAUAUCAACCUCGCCACUACUAUCCCAGGGGAGUUUGUUCCAAUUCUCUCUUUAUUUUAUUGUUCUUUAUCAUGCAUAAUAUGCAAUGGGGACAUUGCAUAAAUUAAGUGUGGGGUAGGGGGUUGGUUAAAUUAGUUAAAAUUUUAGUUAAAAUUCGAAAAUCUUGAAAUUUUAGUUAAUUUUGAAAUUUUUGCAUUAAAAUUGCUAGGGCUAAAUUAGAAAAUUUUGGUAAAGCAAUUAGGGAUCAUGCUAGUAUUAUAUUUGAUGAUUGCAUGAAAACCCAAAUGUUUAGUUGAGCCUAUAUACGUUCUAGUGCAUUUGUGGCUUCCUUAUUCUAGUGAAAUCAUGGGACAAAAACACGACCUCGCUUAGUUUGAAGGAUGCAAUAUGUUUAGCAUCGUGUACCAGAAAUGUAUCCAGGAAAAUUAUUAUCUUUAGCCAAUAAAGGUUGAAGUUGAGCGCCCUUGCUUAAGCAUGUAGGUUUUGAGUGAAAAAAAGUGAGUUACAUGUUAAAAAAAAAAGAGAGAGAAUUACAAGAAAAGUUGUAAGAAUUUUGGAGCAAUCAAAGUGAAGAUCAAAAGAUCAAAAUUCCGAAGAUUCAAAAAGUUGAAGAUACCAAAAAUCAAACAACAAGGUGGUGAAUUCAAAGAAAUUAAAGAUCAAAUGUCAAAGAAGUGAAGAAUUCCAAAGAGCUCCAAUGUGGUAUCAUAAAUUGUAAUUGUCUAGAUUAUGUAUGCUUGGGUUGCUCAACCAAAAAUACCUUGAGGUUAAGAGGUUUUCUGAGGAUGGAUUCGGAGGGAUGCAUAAAAUGAGCAUUGUUCGGAAAAAGUGGGCGAAUGUUUAUGAGGAUUGUGAGUAUUUGGAGUAUGGGGGGUUAUUAGGAAAAUUUUAGACACAAAUGCAUGCGUUGCGGUCUUGGCAUAAUGGAUGGGUUCGAUUGGGAUUGUCUUAUGUAAUAUUAGUGUACUAAAAUUCAGUUUUGCUUGGGGGCAAGCAAAAGUCAAGUGUGGGGUAUUUUGAUAUGGGCAUAUUUAGUUAUAAAAUUCAUGCAUUAUCUUAAUACUUUAUGUUGAUUUUAUCUCAUUUAAUGAACAAAAGGUGCUUAAUUAGUUUAUAAUUUCAUUUUUCAGCAACAAUUACAUGCUCGGAUGGAAAAUGAAGCGGAACUAGCGAUUGGAGGCUUGGAUCUUGGAUUUUGAAGAAAGAAGGAUGUUGUUGGACAGCUUGACCCCUCGUCAGUGUUUUGGCCAUAUCUCAUGAACCGUAACUCCGAUUGACGAGAUUCAAAAUGUUCUGAAAAGUAGACACAAUUUCGGACGACUUUCGUGUUUUGAGAAAAUGCUGAUUCGAAACGUACUCGGCGAGUAGGGUCGAUUACUCGGCGAGUUGUAUCGAACUUUCGCGAUUCUGGACGCGCUGACUUGCCGUACACGGGUUUUAAGUGAUGUACUCGGCGAGUAGGUCACUGGACUCGCCGAGUAGCCUCUGUUUUGUGAAAAUCUAUAUAAAGGGACUUUCAGAUCGAUACCCUAGCAUGGAGAGAAACCCUAGGAGGCUGAGAAACGAUUGGAAGUGCUGCUAGGUCGUGAGGAACUGAAGAAUCAACCCUACAUUCAAUUGUGAAGAGAAUCAAGACAAUUUUGGUUUAUUCUUAGUAACUUUUUGAUUUGAAUCAUGUUUACAUACUUUGAUUUCGUUUUUGAGUUUAUGUUUACUGCAAUCAUGAGCUAAAAACUUAUUCUUCUGUUAGGGUAGACAAUUUUGUGAACAUGGAUUGAUUAUUUGAGUAGGAUUAAUUUUAAUUGGUAAUUAUGUUUUGUUAAGCUUGUUAAAGAACCUUAUGUGUUGACAAUAACUAUUCUUCUGUUAAUAAAUCAGUAAUUAAGUUGUAUGAACAUCUCUUAGUUAUUAAUUUCAUAUGAUUUAUUGUGACCACAUAGUUGUAUGUCUAGGAAUAACGAACGUGAAACUAGAAUUAACUAGAAGAUAGGUAAGUUAAUGUGUAAGCUUGUUGGAUGAACAUCAACAAGAGGUUAAUUGAAGGGCCAAUUUAGUUAACCACUACAAGUCUUACUUAACCCGAAUCAAUAAUCUAGGAAACCCGUUAAUUUAGACAACUGGCCAUUGCUUGAAUUAAUUUGUUUUCUAAGCAUUAGGGAUAGCGAAUGUGAAGCUAAUUAUCUUAAUCGGUAGCCAAUGAAGAAUUAAUCCGAUACAUUGAAAUCAUCCAUGGGAAAAAAUGAGUCGUACCUAAACAGAAGUCCUCUUUACUAUUGAAUUUAGUUGGUAAUUAAUUGUUUUAGUUGUUAGUUAGUUAAUUUGUGUGUUGGUUAUUCUAAUUAAGUUCCUAGUCUUGUAAAACUAGAGAAAACCUCCUUUUUGUUAUUUGUUUUAUUUAGAUAAUAUUAGCAUUUAUUUUAAUUGUUUACCGUUCCCUGUGUUCGAUACCCUACUUGCUUGAACUAUAUUACUAAUCGAUAGGUACACUGCCUUUCGUGUGUUUAUUUUGUGUCUAAGUUAGUAGGAUUAAAACUAGUUGGUUUUACACACAUCAGAGUCACUACUGUCAUCCUCAGGCAUAUGUCUCUGAUUUGGGCUACAAAUGCGUUGCGGCUAAGUGCAUCGGCCACAACAUUGGCCUUCCACGGGUGGUA
rnacentral:lncRNA from 1 species